CAGCAGCAGCCUGCAGCAAACACAAAGCUGUCUGGUCGUUGUUGCCUGUCAUUCAUUGCACUGCUUUGUUUGUCUCAGAGCAGAAGAGCCCCUUCUCCUGAGCCAGUGUGACCUUCUGUGAGCAGCUGAGAUCUGCUCCUCUGGGACUUCAAGCUUCAGCACAAGGUUGGCUGUUGAUAUUUGCUGCCCUGAAAUGUGUAGGAUGUCUCUGCUUUAGCCUGCGCAACUGAAGAACGAGUCUGGACUCUUCACUUUUCGGUCUUCACGUUGUUUAUUAAUUCUUAUCUAUAAAAUUUUCUCUCUGCCCAGCUGAGAUCUGCUCAGCAAGGCAGCCACCAGCACUCUGACCGCCCCCGAGGCAGUAUCAUCCUUAUAUACUACAAACUACAUAUAUCAUAUUUACUCUUAAU